rnacentral:rRNA from 1 species
CUGCCUGCCAGUAGUCAUACGCUCGUCUCAAAGAUUAAGCCAUGCAUGUGUAAGUAUAAAUAGUUAACUUUGAAACUGCGAAUGGCUCAUUAUAUCAGUUAUAGUUUAUUUGAUGAAGAAUACUAAUUGGAUAACCGUAGUAAUUCUAGAGCUAAUACAUGUAUAAAGUCUUGUAGAUCUGCAUUUAUUAGAAUGAAAACCAUAGGUUUCGGCCUAUUCGUGAGUAAUAAUAACUAAUCAUAUCGUAUGCUUAUGUAACGAUGUGUCUUUCAAGUUUCUGCCCUAUCAGCUAUCGAUGGUAGUGUAUUGGACUACCAUGGCAGUAACGGGUAACGAAGAAUUUGGGUUCGAUUUCGGAGAGGGAGCCUGAGAGAUGGCUACCACAUCCAAGGAAGGCAGCAGGCGCGUAAAUUACCCAAUCCUGGACACAGGGAGGUAGUGACAAUAAAUCACAAUGCGGAACAAUGUUUUGCAAUUGGAUUGAGAACAACGUACAAACCUUAUCGAUAAACAAUUGGAGGGCAAGUCUGGUGCCAGCAGCCGCGGUAAUUCCAGCUCCAAUAGCGUAUAUUAACGUUGCA